rnacentral:rRNA from 1 species
CGGCAACGGAUAUCUCGGCUCUCGCAUCGAUGAAGAACGUAGCGAAAUGCGAUACUUGGUGUGAAUUGCAGAAUCCCGUGAACCAUCGAGUCUUUGAACGCAAGUUGCGCCCCAAGCCUUCUGGCCGAGGGCACGUCUGCCUGGGUGUCACAA